CAAGUUUCUUGGAUGCCCAUCUUCCUCUCAGAUGUAAUUGGUGUACCAGGAGCAGUUGUGUCUCACUGUCAAAAAACACCCUAAACCAUUUAAAUGUCAUAUAUUCUGUAGGUCUUUGAAAGGUUUGAAGAGUAUCUAUAUAUCUAGAAAACCUAACUAAUAUCAACAAAUGAAGAUCCAUUCCAAUACAAAGUAUCAACAAAUGAAGGUCCAUUCCAAUACAAAGUAUCAUUUCUAUAUCAUAUUCCUCCUUUUUCCUUUAAAAAGUGAUUGAUUGUGACCACUACCAUUUCUAACCAACCAAAUUUAAAUGAAAACAAAUAUUUGGGUCACCUGGGCCACUGCUUCAGGGGGUCCUGCCCCAUAAAACCACACCAGUGUGGAAGGAAUCCACAGCUCUUCACCCUCCGUGGAAACAAAAGGAGAAAUUCCCCUCCCAAGUGUCCUGUACUUUAACAACUGUUGCUCCUUCCCCAGCAAUUAAACAUUCAAAGACAAUACAAUAACAUUCUUAACAGUCAUACAUUUAGGAUCACACUUCAUACACACAUGUGGCCACACCAUACAUGAACAAAACUCACAAAAGAGAGGAGGUGUCCAGGGACGGCCAUCCUUACCAUAGCUUGGCAUCUUUGGAGGGUCUUGAGGACUGUCUCAUCUUUGUCCAUUCCUGUAGAGUCUUUUGUACGGCCUGUGUCUUUUCUUUAUCUAUUUGGACACAUUCUACUUUUUCAUCUGAUGUGACAGAUGAUGUGGAUGGCUUGCAAUGAGGGCUCGGGGAGAGCGGCUGGAAGUCCAGGGCUGUGUAAUUUAUGUUGCCAGUACUCUUUUUUUGGAGCUGGGUCAUUGGGGACAGGGGAUGAAGACACUGGGUUCUGCAUAGAGACAUAGUUCUCCUCACUGUAUUCAGAGUCUGUGUUGGAGAUGGAACAGCAGUACUGGGAAGACCUAGAGUUAAAGGUGUGGUUGACCGUGGACCAAGACUUGGUGACAGGGUGUUGCUGGGUGCCUUGAAGGUGUACUCAUCCUCACUAUCUGCCUCAGACCCUGUGAAGCUGCCCUUGGUGUGGCUGUGUGAAGCCAGGCUAUGGGAGAGGUAAAAAGCACUGUCUUUGAAUUCUGUAUUGGUCGGCUUGGCUUGGGAAGGCUAUAGAAGCCAUGGACUUGACCACUGACUCUGUUGAUACAGUGUCUAUUGCCCUGGGCAAGUUUUUGUGCAGCUGUAUCACUCUCCUGUCGGGUGCCCUGAGAGAAGCUGGCACUCCUCAAGUUUUCUGUCC
rnacentral:lncRNA from 1 species